rnacentral:misc_RNA from 1 species
GAUGAAGAACGUAGCGAAAUGCGAUAACUAAUGUGAAUUGCAGAAUUCAGUGAAUCAUCGAGUCUUUGAACGCACAUUGCGCCCCCUGGUAUUCCGGGGGUCAUGCCUGUCCGAGCGUCAUUGCUGCCCUCAAGCACGGCUUGUGUGUUGGGCUCCGUCCCCCCGGGGACGGGCCCGAAAGGCAGCGGCGGCACCGAGUCCGGUCCUCGAGCGUAUGGGGCUUUGUCACCCGCUCUGUAGGCCCGGCCGGCGCCAGCCGACAACCCAUCAUCCUUUUCAGGUUGACCUCGGAUCAGGUAGGGAUACCCGCUGAACUUAAGCAUAUCAAUAAGCGGAGGA